UACGGGGGGGCAAGCGUUGUUCGGAAUUACUGGGCGUAAAGGGCUCGUAGGCGGCCAACUAAGUCAGACGUGAAAUCCCUCGGCUUAACCGGGGAACUGCGUCUGAUACUGGAUGGCUUGAGGUUGGGAGAGGGAUGCGGAAUUCCAGGUGUAGCGGUGAAAUGUGUAGAUAUCUGGAGGAACACCGGUGGCGAAGGCGGCAUCCUGGACCAAUUCUGACGCUGAGUGAGCGAAAGCCAGGGGAGCAAACGGG
rnacentral:rRNA from 1 species